GACUAACGCUGACGGUAUGCCUUAUACAUGCAAGUCGAACGGUAAGGUCUCUUCGGAGAUACACGAGUGGCGGACGGGUGAGUAACACGUAGGAAUCUGCCCCAGAGUGGGGGACAACUUGGAGAAAUCCAAGCUAAUACCCCAUAUGACGAAAGUUGAAAGAUUUAUCGCUUUGGGAGGAGCCUGCGUUUGAUUAGUUUGUUGGUGAGGUAAAGGCUCACCAAGACUACGAUCAAUAGCUGGUUUGAGAGGAUGAUCAGCCACAAUGGGACUGAGAUACGGCCCAU
rnacentral:rRNA from 1 species